rnacentral:rRNA from 1 species
UACGGGGGGGGCAAGCGUUGUUCGGAAUUACUGGGCGUAAAGGGCUCGUAGGUGGCCAACUAAGUCAGACGUGAAAUCCCCAGGCUCAACUUGGGAACUGCGUCUGAUACUGGAUGGCUUGAAUUCGGGAGAGGGAUGCAGAAUUCCAGGUGUAGCGGUGAAAUGCGUAGAUAUCUGGAGGAAUACCGGUGGCGAAGGCGGCAUCCUGGACCGAGAUUGACACUGAUGAGCGAAAGCCAGGGGAGCAAACGGGAUUAGAAACCCUCGUAGUCC